rnacentral:ncRNA from 2 species
AAGGAGGCAAACAGAAGCGAUCUUAUCAACCGCAGGUGGAUGUACGGGAAAGGGGUGAAAAUCCCCUGCUGCCCCGCAACUGUGACGGCCACGAAAGCCGCACUGAGCCACUGUGCGCCUCAGGCGCACGGGAAGGCGCGGCGAGUAGGACUGAUCGUGAUCGUGGAUCGUGACCGUGUUCGUUCAAAGAAAUUUACGAGCACGAGGGACGAGCACGAACACGACUAAAAAGCCUAAGCCAGGAGACCGGUCCUUCCUGCCCUAACAAC